GUAGGUGGCAAGCGUUGUCCGGAAUUAUUGGGCGUAAAGCGCGCGCAGGCGGUUCUUUAAGUCUGAUGUGAAAGCCCACGGCUCAACCGUGGAGGGUCAUUGGAAACUGGAGAACUUGAGUACAGAAGAGGAAAGCGGAAUUCCACGUGUAGCGGUGAAAUGCGUAGAGAUGUGGAGGAACACCAGUGGCGAAGGCGGCUUUCUGGUCUGUAACUGACGCUGAGGCGCGAAAGCGUGGGGAGCAAACAGGGAUUAGAUACCCUGGUAGUCCACGCCGUAAACGAUGAGUGCUAAGUGUUAGGGGGGUUUCCGCCCCCUUAGUGCUGCAGCUAACGCAUUAAGCACUCCGCCUGGGGGUACGGCCGCAUGGCUG
rnacentral:rRNA from 1 species